UUCUACGGCCCCAUCCCCAUCGCCACCCCCUCGCGCCCUCAUCCGCACCACGCCUUCUCUCUCCGAGAGCUUAUCGCUCCAUCGUGACGUGUCUUGCUUCCUUACCGUGUGCAAUCUCGCGUCAGCCUGUCGUUGCGCUCGCCUGCAUGUGCCGCUCUCUCUGUCUCUCUCUUUCGAUGCCGCCUCCGUCUUGACGCCUUUGGUGUGUGUAUUGUCUUCGUCGGUUGCUGUCGUACACCUUCUGCUCACGACGGCGAGCAGCCUCCCGCCCCCUCCCUCCGGCCGCACCCCUCUCCCAGACGUGUUGCAUUGUCUCUCGUCCUGGCGCGCUCACCUCUAUCUGCUCUCUGUGCCUGACCAACUCCGGCUCAGCGGGAAAGCGGCUCCCUCGCCUCUCCGAUCAGCACCGACAUUCCGCGCGCACCGGCUGAUCUCUUUAUCGUGGUGAUCGCAGAGUUGGUUUCGUUAACCCCAUCGCUUUCGGCAUGAGUGGAAGCGCCGCCAUACAGGCGGACGGGGGUGUUGGUGGUGGCGGUGGCCGUUACAGGUGAAAUCGAGUGAGAGCGUGUCUGCAGUGGCGCUUGGCGAUGCGUAUGCACGGCGGCGUGCUGGGCGCCUCUUUCUUUCGGAUGCGGCUGCGGUAGAGAGGCGAUGUACCGGUGGCCUCGGCGGAGCAGAAGCCCUUUCUGUUCCUAUUUGUGGUGCCAUCGAGGUGCCAGCGUUGGCGCACGGCUGUACUAUACAUUCUCUGUAUAUGAGCUGUGAGCCGGAGCCGAUCUGUUCGGAAGGGAUGCAGCCCCACUAGCCGCGCAGGGCACACGGACAGCAGCGGAAAACGUGCCGUUGAGAGCUCCGUUGGCGCAUGGCUCCAUGCGUGAGGAAAAGACGGGGAAGAAGAGGAGACGGAGCGGGCGGGGGGUAGCCAGUGCUUGCCAUUGAGCGAGUUGCGGCGGCUGUAUGCCUUCCGACGCUCUCCACACCUCUGCUGGGGAGCUUGACACGAAGGCAGAGACUCGCUCUCAUCACUGCCGCGUCUAAGACUCCCUCUUCUUCUCUUUCAAGUAGACAUCUUAUGAGCGCGCUGAGGCGGUGCGUUCGCAUUAGUUUUAUGGCAAGACGCUCGACAUCUUCGCAUCAUUCCAGGCGCAGAAUUGUCGAGGCUGCGUCUGUCGUCAGCACCCUGUUCGGGCAACCCUUUUUGCCUUUCUCUGUCGGCGUGUACGGACAACUCCACACACAAAGGACGAUACAUGUAUACAUACGCCUCUACCCACAUACAUGUACACACAGGUGCAUAUAUAUGGUUUCGGGUGCCGGCGAGCCCUUAUGCGCAUCACUAAGUGGCGUCUGCGCCGCGGUGCACCGUACCAUGCGCCGGAUCCCUCUCGCCGCAUCUCCACCUUUGCACCAACGCAACAACAAUAAAAAGAUGAACGCUCUUGUAUCGUGUAUGGUGCUCUCAUUCUUGUGUGUUCACCCCCGCCCGCUCCUCCUGGUCUGCUGCCAGUGUAGGUCUCCGCAGUGUUGCCCUGCCUCCCUGCCGAGUCGCC
rnacentral:misc_RNA from 1 species